AAGAAGCACCGGCUAACUCCGUGCCAGCAGCCGCGGUAAUACGGAGGGUGCGAGCGUUGUUCGGAAUUACUGGGCGUAAAGCGCGUGUAGGCGGCCUUGCAAGUCAGGCGUGAAAGCCCUCGGCUUAACCGGGGAAGUGCGUCUGAAACUGCUUGGCUUGAGUACGGGAGAGGGAGGCGGAAUUCCCAGUGUAGAGGUGAAAUUCGUAGAUAUUGGGAGGAACACCGGUGGCGAAAGCGGCCUCCUGGACCGAUACUGACGCUGAGACGCGAAAGCGUGGGGAGCAAACAGGAUUAGAUACCCUGGUAGUCCACGCGGUAAACGAUGGGCACUAGGUGUGGGGGGUAUCCACUCCUCCCGUGCCGAAGCUAACGCA
rnacentral:rRNA from 1 species